rnacentral:tRNA from 1 species
UGGGAUGUAGCCAAGUGGUAAGGCAACGGGUUUUGGCUCCGUUAUACGAAGGUUCGAACCCUUCCAUCCCAGCCA